rnacentral:tRNA from 1 species
AGGGGUAUGGCAUAUCGGCUGUGCAACGCUCUCCAAAAGCGUCGAGGGGGGUUCGACUCCUCCUACCCCUGCCU